rnacentral:tRNA from 4 species
GCGAGCGUGGCGGAACUGGUAGACGCGCUAGACUUAGGAUCUAGUGCCGCAAGGUGUGGGAGUUCGAGUCUCCCCGCUCGCACCA